CUUGUAACAAGCUUUUUGGGCCCCAACACAGAAGCUGACGAAAAGUCAGCUUACAAUAAUGUGCGAGUUGGGGUGGGACGACGAUAAAGA
rnacentral:snRNA from 2 species